rnacentral:SRP_RNA from 2 species
GCCAGGCGUGGUGGUGCAUGCCUGUAAUCCCAGCUACUCAGGAGGCUGAGACAGGAGAAUUGCUUGAACCCAGGAGACAGAGGUUGCAGUGACCCAAGAUCGCGCCACUGCACUCCAGCCUGGGCAACAGAGCAAGACUCUGCCUCAA